GUGGGGAAUAUUGGGCAAUGGGUGCAAGCCUGACCCAGCCAUCCCGCGUGCCGGAUGAAGGCCCUCUGGGUCGUAAACGGCUUUUGACGGUGAAGAACCGAAAGGGUGCGCCCUUUUCUGACGGUAGCCGUUGAAUAAGCACCGGCUAACUCCGUGCCAGCAGCCGCGGUAAUACGUAGGGUGCGAGCGUUAAUCGGAAUUACUGGGCGUAAAGCGUGCGCAGGCGGCUAUGCAAGACAGAUGUGAAAUCCCCGGGCUCAACCUGGGAACUGCAUUUGUGACUGCAUGGCUAGAGUGCGUCAGAGGGAGGUGGAAUUCCGCGUGUAGCAGUGAAAUGCGUAGAGAUGCGGAGGAACACCGAUGGCGAAGGCAGCCUCCUGGGAUGACACUGACGCUCAUGCACGAAAGCGUGGGGAGCAAACAGGAUUAGAAACCCUUGUAGUCC
rnacentral:rRNA from 1 species